UUUUCCUCUGCACAGGUUUUGAUAAAUCUCCCCCAAUGUGUAUGAAGGCCAAAGUCCUGGUCUGACAGCAGAUCUAAUGGUCCCUAUAAUGUUAUAAGUUCAAGUCAUGAGACCUAUGGUCAAGUGGGCACAGACACCAUCAUCAUAAAGGAUAAGCACCAUAGGUUUCCUGGAAAGAUGCCCCCAGGCCUCCUCUGAUCUCCUGCCCCCUCUGCCCUUUCCCUAUCAGAGCCCCCAUCAGGAGAACAGAAGAAGACUGGUUAGAUCUGGGGAAGAAUGACAGCUCCAUGAGGAGGGAAUAGUCAGAACUUCAUCUAAGAUUUAGCAGCAGAUCACACUGCCCACCGCCCCAAAGUUACCACGUCUCUGCCCCUGUGCCCAGAGAACAUGGCACUCACAUCUCUAUGCUACAUCCUGUACCAUGGUGUCAGAGAUGAUUGGGGUGGCCGCCCUUGUAGGACAUCUAGAGAAGAGUAUGACCAGGCUCCCAACUAGUACAGUGUUUCCCAAGCAAGGCGCCUCCAGCUGUUGCAAAACUACAACUCCCAGUAUGCCCAGACAGUCUUCGGCACACUGGUUAGAAAACGCUGAUCUAAUCUGUAUGGUGGACACCUAUAGAAGAUGCAGAUGGAUUGGACAAGUUGGAUUUCAAGAACCCAUAACUUUUGUUGGGCCAAAGCCACCAAGGGCAUCAGAACCACUCAGCUGUCUAAACUGUAAGAGGACUUCUGGAAUAGGCCAGGGGUCCUCAAACUACAGGCCGCAGGCCACAUGCGGCCCGCCAAGGACAUUUAUCCGGCCUUCCGCUGCCUAUGGACACACCUGUGUCCCGAAAGAUGUUUUCGGGACACAGGGAUGCACUCUUGGCGGCCCUGCAUUUGCUUAGGGGCCUCCGGGAAGUUGGCACACGCAGGGACCUCACUGACGUCCCGUGCAUGCGCCCAUAGCAAUGGAGCUUGGAGGAGCGGAGCAGCGAUGAGGAAAUGCGCUGGCCAGCUUGGAUCCUUAAGAAGAAAGAGGCUGCUAGUUCCCAGCCAGAGGGUAUAGAUCAGGAGAGGACCAUAAGGGUAGGGGGUAGAUAUGGAGCAGCACAACCAAAAAGAAGAAAAAAUAGUGAUGGGUGCCAGCAAUUCGUAGUCCCAGAUUCCUCGGUACUAAAGCUAGACACACUUUUCCUACAGCUGUCGGCCAAACAAUUGUUAUCUCUCCUGUGUGCAACUAAAUGGGACUCCUGGAUGGGGCUUGUCUCCCCCCAAGAACAAAAGGGUCAAGAAUAUCAAAAAACCAACGUCUGCCAUUUGAGGGCAGAUGAGAAUAUCCCAUAAACAUGUAAAAUUGGCAGGGCCAUAUUAUGGCUGCGAGUCCCAGGCCGACAGCAGCCAUCAUUGUGAGCGGGGACCGUAAAAACCGUGCCUGCAACGAUAGGCUGAUCACAGGCUGUCGGCCGUCCGGGCAUGCUGGGAGUUGUAGUUGGAGGUUCACAGUUUGGAGACCAAUGCACUAUAAUGAAUGGAGGGUAGGCACCUCUAAUAGUAUGUUUAAAAAAUAGGAAAAAAUUAACUAUUACACUGCCCUCCAUAAAAUCAAUGGGCUAUCUGGGCGAUUAAUAGAUAUACAGGGUCCUCCAGAUGCUUUAAAACAGAGUUCUCCAAACUGCUGAC